GGAAUAUAUAAAAAAAGAAGAUGUGGUAUUAUUGCCAAUGAGACAACUAUCCACAAAAGACCAAAAUGACACAGACAUUAACAACUAUAGGUCACCGUACGGCAUUCAACAAUGAGCAAAGCCCAUACCGCAUAGUCAGCUAUAAAAGGCCCCGAUAAGACAAUGUAAAACAAUUCAAACGAGAAAACUAACGGCCUUAUUUAUGUAAAAAAAGAACGAAAAACAAAUAUGUAACACAUAAACAAACGACAACCACUGAAUUACAGGCUCCUGACUUGGGACAGGCACAUACAUAAAUAAUGUGGCGGGGUUAAACAUGUUAGCGGGAUCCCAACCCUCCCCUAACCUGGGACAGUGGUAUAACAGUACAACAUAAGAACGAAC
rnacentral:lncRNA from 1 species